CACGUAGUUAGCCGGGGCUUCUUACUCAGGUACCGUCUUCUUUCUUCCCUGCUGAUAGAGCUUUACAUACCGAAAUACUUCUUCACUCACGCGGCGUCGCUGCAUCAGGGUUUCCCCCAUUGUGCAAUAUCCCCCACUGCUGCCUCCCGUAGGAGUUUGGGCCGUAUCUCAGUCCCAAUGUGGCCGUCCACCCUCUCAGGCCGGCUACUGAUCGUCGCUUUGGUAGGCCGUUACCCUGCCAACUGGCUAAUCAGACGCGGGCCCAUCUUAUACCACCGGAGUUUUUCACCCUGGGCCAUGCGGCCUGGGCGCUUAUGCGGUCUUAGCACCUAUUUCUAAGUGUUACCCCCUGUAUAAGGCAGGUUACCCACGCGUUACUCACCCGUCCGCCACUAAAGUAAAAAAUGUUCCGCGGCAGUAAACUGCCCCUUCCUUCUUUUACUUCCGUUCGACUUGCAUGUGUAAGCACGCCGCCAGCGUCAUCCUGACGCCAGGACUCAAACUCU
rnacentral:rRNA from 1 species